UACAGAGGAGCCAAGCGUUGUCCGGAUUGACUGGGCGUAAAGCGCACGCAGGCGGUUGCGCGCGUGGGGUGUGAAAUCUGGCCGCUUAACGGCCAGGCGCCAUCCCAUACGGCGCGACUGGAGUGAUGCAGAGGUCGAUGGAAUUGCCGGUGUAGUGGUGAAAUGCGUAGAGAUCGGCAGGAACACCCAGGGGGAAACCAGUCGACUGGGCAUCUACUGACGCUGAGGUGCGAGAGCGUGGGGAGCGUACCGG
rnacentral:rRNA from 1 species